UUCUUCAGUGGCUUCGCGCGUCCGCAAUUUUCAGUGUGUGGUGCGUUGUUGCUGCUGCCUACUCUUUUCUUUCUGCUCUCCACGGCAGCGGGAAAGGAAAAUACAUACACAUGCAUACAGGGCCCCAUCACAUACAGUAAAAAUAAAUUCAACUUUAUUGCUUUUCCCCCCGUCGCGUUAUCGUGUGUGUGUGUGUAUUAGUAUUAUAUAUAUUUUACCAUAUAUAUAUGGCUUGGAAAAGCAACACCAAAAUUUGAUAUGUGCAAGGUUUAUUGACGACUACGUGCUGCCUGUGAUUCUAUUUCGCAUAACUGCUGACACAUUAAACAAAUCUCCAAAAAGAACCAAAGGCGAAAGCUGAUUUUUUGUUUAGACACUUAAGUUUGAUUCAAUAUUCAUCAAAAUACGAGUGGCGAAAAAAAGCAAGUCAGAGAGAGCGCGCGACGUUCGGCCCCAAGGUCGUGGGCCCUUACCCCCAGGAUCCAUUUCCAAACACCCCAUCCAACCACCCAAGAAACCAAAAUGGAUGACGAUCAGCAGUUUUGUUUGCGGUGGAACAACCACCAGAGCACACUGAUCAGCGUGUUCGACACGUUGCUGGAGAACGAGACUCUAGUCGAUUGCACGCUAGCCGCCGAGGGCAAAUUUCUCAAGGCCCACAAGGUGGUGCUGUCAGCAUGCAGUCCCUACUUUGCUACCUUACUACAAGAACAGUACGACAAACAUCCCAUCUUUAUACUCAAGGAUGUCAAGUACCAAGAGCUGCGCGCCAUGAUGGACUACAUGUACCGCGGCGAGGUCAAUAUCUCGCAGGAUCAGCUGGCCGCUCUGCUCAAGGCCGCCGAGUCGCUGCAGAUCAAGGGCCUGUCGGACAAUCGCACUGGCGGCGGAGCAGCCCCCAAGCCUGAGUCCUCCGGCCAUCAUCGCGGCGGUAAGCUUAGCGGUGCCUACACACUGGAGCAGACGAAGCGGGCUCGACUUGCCACCGGCGGAGCGAUGGACACGUCUGGCGAUGUGUCCGGUUCACGCGAGGGCUCAUCGAGUCCGUCGCGUCGUCGUCGAAAAGUCCGACGUCGCAGCAUGGAGAAUGAUGCCCACGACAACUCCAACUCGUCCGUGUUACAAGCCGCCGCCUCGAAUCAGUCAAUCCUCCAGCAGACAGGAGCCGGUUUGGCCGUCUCCGCUUUGGUCAGCACCCAGUUGUCCAGCGGACCUGCAGCCGGAACCAGCAGCCAAGCGUCGUCGACCCAGCAACAGCAGCCAUUGACCAGCACCAACGUUACCAAAAAGACUGAAAGCGCUAAACUAACAUCCUCGACAGCCGCCCCAGCGAGCGGAGCAUCUGCGUCAGCGGCCGCCGUACAACAGGCCCAUCUGCAUCAGCACCAGCAGCAGGCGCAGACCACAAGCGAUGCCAUUAACACCGAUAAUGUACAAGCCCAGAGCCAAGGUGGCGCCCAAGGCGUCCAAGGCGAUGACGAGGACAUUGACGAGGGUAGUGCCGUUGGCGGAUCAAACGCCGCCAGCGGACCCAAUCCCGCCUCUGCAUCCGCCGUCCAUGCCGGAGUUGUGGUAAAGCAGCUGGCCAGCGUUGUGGACAAAUCGUCGUCGAAUCACAAACAUAAAAUCAAAGACAACAGCGUGUCAUCAGUGGGCUCCGAAAUGGUUAUUGAACCCAAAGCCGAAUACGAUGACGAUGCGCACGAUGAGAACGUUGAAGAUUUGACACUGGACGAGGAGGACAUGACAAUGGAAGAGCUGGACCAGACGGCCGGCACCAGCCAGGGUGGCGAAGGAUCUAGUCAAACAUAUGCAACAUGGCAGCACGACAGAUCUCAGGAUGAACUUGGACUAAUGGCACAGGAUGCACAGCAACGGGAUCCCCAAGAUGUCUCUACAAACAAAACUGUUGUACUACCCCACUACUUCAUCUACCAAUACUACUCCAAUAUCUACUACCUACUAUCACAUACUACUAUCUAUGAAGCCGACCGAACCGUAUUUUGUCCUGGAAAACUCGACUGUCUGCUGCAGCGCAACGAUCUGCAAGAAACAAACUCCAAGCAGCUAUGUAUCCAACUCAAGCCAAACUCCACCGCCAGUUGGGGGUUCAUCGGCCAGUUCGGCGCAAGCCCUGAUCCGCGACUACUGGUACGAGCUCAAGUUCUCCGAUCUGUUCAAGUUUAUAAAUCCUGACGGACGUUACCAGUGCCCGAGAUUCAAUUGCCUGAAGAGCUACAAGGACGCCAGCUCGCUGCAACGACAUAUCAGAUAUGAAUGUGGAGGACAGAAAAAAUUUCGCUGUCUGAUGUGCGGCAAAGCAUUUUCACAAAGCUCCCACCUAAAGCGACACCUUGAAAGCGGUGUCUGUGUCAAAUAUUACUUAUGAGAUAAUGUUUUCUUUAAAAUCAAAUAGAAUAAGCGUUAUCCCAAUAGGCAGAAGAUCAACUGAUCUGAUGAUCGGCUUGAUAUGAUGAACAUGAACAUUAACAUGAUUAUAUAAACAUAUAUUACACACAGAAACACACGCAAUACUGCAACACAACAACAAACAAUGAGAACAAACAAAAGGAUAUAUAGAACAAUUAGAUAAAACCAAGAACAAUUACAAAUAACAAACAACAAAACGAAUUUAUUGGAUGCCACAUCAUUUAUAAAGAAAAUGGAUAAACAAAAAAAAAAACCAACCAAUCUAUAUAUAUAGUAUAUAUGAUGAGAAUUAUUGUUGAAACUGAGCAUUAAUGAAACAAACGGAAUACUUAGUUAAAGAGCAAGUGAAAAACGAAAUAUUUAACAAGCUAGAACAACAAUAUAUACACAUAUAUUAAAUGCAGUCAGUGAACAUUUUAUAGGAUUUUAGUAAAGCGUAAAACAAGAUAAAAAACCUAAGAAAACAAAAAAAAAAGAAACUAAACUAAGUAAUAGAACAGAGAGGCAAACAAACAAAAGUUAAAGAACAAAACAUAAAAAAUGAAAGAAAUCAUAAAACAAAACAUACACGCAAGGAAGCUAAGAGCAAAACAAUUUUAGUCAAACUAACCAAAACUACGUAAUUUUAGUUUAAAUAUAUACAUAAUAUAGAAACUAAACCAAGCAAAUUUUAGUGAAAUUAACAAAUGAGAGAAAUACAUAUACAUAUAACAACCGACAAAAGGAAAGAGGACAGAACAAAACAGAAACAGAACAGAACAAAAAUAACAGAAAUGCAUAUAACAAAACGUACUGUGUUUAUUUGUUGCCAAAUAUAUAUCUAUAAUAUAUAUUUCUAAUAUAUAAUAUAAUUAAUACGAUUCUUGUUAUGCCACACAACCACGAAAUUAACAAAACCUGAAAUGGGAGUGGAUGACAUCAAAAACAAUAAGAGCAGAGCAAAGAAGAUCAUCAAAAGAUAACUAAAUGUUAUUAUGUGUUAUUGUUUAAAUUGUUAUUAUGCCAGGUACACAGACACACCAACACACACGCUGCUUACGUACAGUGAAACUUCUGGAUUUAAGAAACUAUUGUCCAGAUAGAGGCCCCACUGUAUGUAUCCAGCAAGUAAUACACUUUAAGUCUCAUAGAGUCAACUUUGGUUAGGCAUCACGAUUGUUUAGCAGAGGCAGAUGGUCGAAAGGGAUUGCAGGAAGAUAUGUUACAUGGUUCCAAGAACAACAAAAUAGUAAAGAGAGUUUAUAUACAUAUAUACAAAACAUAUACAUAUGAGGAAACAACCACAUCUACAUAAAAAUAUACACAUAUAGAACUAUAUAUAAUGCUAUAUUAGCAAAAAUGUUGUCUGUUGAACAAAGAGGAUAUUAAGGAAACGGAAAUUGUUAGUCAGUGACGAGGAUUAGAUGUUGGUAACGUGUACUCACAUCGCCAAAAGUAAUUGUAUUUGUAUGAUAUAGGUGCGUGUAUGUGUGUGUGGGUGUGUGCGUAGCCUUGUGCGAGUGUGUGUGCCAAUCGGUCAAAGAAUUUUUUACCAGAGAAGAAAAAAUAUGAAGAAAUAGAACAUUUUGUGCCAUUAGAAAUUCUCCACCAAAACUGAAAGUAAAAUUCAAUACUGCUUUAGAGACGACGACGAUGAAGAAGCCAUAGAAGAGAUCGAACAAUAUACUCAUACAUGAUAAAUGUAUAUGCGAACCAAUAUGAUUUGUUGUUGCAUUCGAAGAUUAAAAUCGAUUCUGUUGACAAGUGUAAUUUAUAAUACAUUUUUGUUGUGAGUUCAAAGAUUGAGUCUAGUGAAAUUUUUGACGGCAGAAGUGACAACUAAAUGCUACGAGAGUGCCAUUAUCAAACAAAUUUUUAAUAUAUAUAUAUAUAUAUAUAUAUAUAUAUAAAUGAUAAAUGAUAAAUUAUUGAAAUUAUACGGAAUACAUAUAUAUAACCUAAGCAGGAGACAACUAAACAUAAUUUCUAGUUAGGAACGCAGUAAGGAAGCAGAGGGAGCGCAGGAAAUAUAUUGUUUGUUGCUUGUUGAUUGUUAAUUUUUGGGUUGCAGAAAAUAAACCUAAGCAUAUAUGCAAGACACAUGUAUAUGACAGUACAAUAAACAAAUAAAAUAAAAAUACAGAAUAUAGAGAACAAACAGAACAGCAAUAGAAACCUACCUAUAUGAACUCGAAUGAACUAGACAAAUUAUACACAGUAUAAAGGAAGCUAAAAACGAAUGAAAAUCAAUUAUAGUGAAGUACUAACUACAGAUUAAGACCGAUUUGACACUAAUCCAAACUCGCAACCGACCGAUCUGCCUAAAAAAAUUUAUUAAUUCUUAGUAAUAUUGAAAGAGAAAUCCUUCGUUUUGGCAACUAUCCUUGCAGCCUUCGGUUGGUACGAUUUGUGAAGUUAGUGUCAAUUAUCGGUUUAGCACCUCCUCCCCUCCCCCGUAAUUAACGAAUACUAAUACAAAGGCAAAAUUUUUAUUGAUUUACUUCAAUUUGGUUACACAUUUUGCCACAAGUGCAAUACUUCAAAAGUUUGUUGACAAUUUGUCUUGUGCGGCUAUUUGCCAAAGUCAAUUUUGAAAUGAAUAGUCUAAAGAACCAUUUUGUAGCCGAAAACCACAAUUCCAACCUCCAAGCGAACAAGACAAAUUGUUGGACUCUUGGAAGAAAUAGAAGAAAUAGUGCUUUCAAAUUAGUAAAAAUUUAAUUGAGAAUUUUUCGCUUUACUUGUAUGAAUAAUGUUUUUUGUUAAACUAAUUUACUAAGACCUUGUUGCGAGUAGCUAAAUUAUUAUUAUUAUUUUUGCUGUUAAAGUUUAGAUAAAGGGAAUGAAACAUGGAAUGUUUCGCAAUAACUUUUUUGUUAAAUCGUUUUUCUUUAAAUUAGUUAUAACACUGUUUUAAUAUUAUUAUUACAUAUACAAACAUAUAUUGUUUCACAUUAAUUUAACCAGAAAACUCUUUAUGUUUUAACUUUUGUUAUAUUGUUAAUUAAUAUUUAUUGACUAAGAGCAGAAAACCGUUUGCAAAAAACCAUAAAAAAAUUAGAGUUAACUAUGUAAGUUACAAAUAAUGAACAAAAUAUACUCCAAAGAAACCAACCAAAAAUAUAUAUAUAUACACACAUAUAUACAAGGACAUAUACAUUUACCAAUAUAUAUAUAUUUUAGACAAAAACUGAACAAAGCGAACACAGCAACCAGACAAGAAAACGUUUUAGUAAAAGUGUAUUUGGAACAAAGAAAUUGCCAUAACAGUCUAAAAUGAUUAACGGAUAUAUAUAAAUAUAUAUAUAUAUAUAUAUUAUAUAUAUAAUCAAACCAAAAACAAUAAUUACCAGAACAAGAAGAACCGUAAGAAAAGUUUAAUUGUAACGAAAGUUGUUUAUUUUUUGUAGCGUAAUAUUUAACAACAAUGAAACCGAGUAAAUUGAUAAAUGAUAUAUACAUAUAUUUAUUGUUAAUGAAACCACGGAUAAGGCGAAAUUAUGAAACAAAUUUAUACAAUAUGAAUAAUAAGAAAACGUAAACGGAGAAAAAGCAAGAAAAACUUUAAUUGAUGAAGCUGAUAUUGUUAGUACCUUAAAACCAUGGAAUAAAACAAAUUAAUAAUUAUUAAUAAUUAUAAUAACAAGCGGUAGGAUUAAACAAUGAGAAAAACACAAAAACAAGAUUUGAUGUAACCAAAACCAAGCUAAGGCCAUUUGAGAUUAUGUUUUAAUUUUUCGAGAAACCAUUUAACCCCAAAAAUUGUUAUUUUUGCGAAAUCUGAACAAAUGGCAUUAUAUAUGGAAUCGUUUAUAUACACAUUGUUUGAAGAAAGUGGUAACAGAAAACCCAACAAGAAUAAUAAAGAUUGAUAUUGAAAUGUUGAAACCCCAAAA